AGUGGCGCACGGGUGAGUAACGCGUGGGUAAUCUACCUCCGAAUUGGGGAUAACAUUGCGAAAGCGGUGCUAAUACCGAAUAACAUCCCCGAGACUCCGGUUUUGGUGAUCAAAGGUGGCCUCUACAUGUAAGCUACUGUUUGGAGAUGAGCCCGCGUACCAUUAGCUUGUUGGUAGGGUAACGGCCUACCAAGGCUGCGAUGGUUAGCUGGUCUGAGAGGAUGAUCAGCCACACUGGAACUGACACACGGUCCAGACUCCUACGGGAGGCAGCAGUGAGGAAUUUUGCGCAAUGGGGGAAACCCUGACGCAGCAACGCCGCGUGAGUGAUGAAGGCCUUCGGGUCGUAAAGCUCUGUCAAGUGGGAAGAAUCUGCCCGAUGAUAAUACCAUUGGGCACCGACGGUACCACUGAAGGAAGCACCGGCUAACUCCGUGCCAGCAGCCGCGGUAAUACGGGGGUGCAAGCGUUAUUCGGAAUCAUUGGGCGUAAAGGGCGCGUAGGCGGUCUUUUAAGUCAGAUGUGAAAGCCCUCGGCUUAACCGAGGAAGUGCAUUUGAUACUAAGAGCUUUGAGUAUGGGAGAGGGAAGCGGAAUUCCUGGUGUAGCGGUGAAAUGCGUAGAUAUCAGGAGGAACACCGGUGGCGAAGGCGGCUUCCUGGACCAAUACUGACGCUGAGGCGCGAAGGCGUGGGGAGCAA
rnacentral:rRNA from 1 species